UACGUAGGGAGCAAGCGUUGUCCGGAAUCAUUGGGCGUAAAGCGCUCGUAGGUGGCUUCGUAAGUCCGUUGUGAAAGUCAAAGGCUCAACCUUUGAAAGCCGAUGGAUACUGCGGAGCUAGAGUACGGAAGAGGCGAGUGGAAUUCCUGGUGUAGCGGUGGAAUGCGCAGAUAUCAGGAGGAACACCAAUAGCGAAGGCAGCUCGCUGGGACGUUACUGACACUGAGGCGCGAAAGCGUGGGGAGCGAACAGG
rnacentral:rRNA from 1 species